CGUGUUUGACACAGAGGAAAAGGAGAAGCACUGGAGUUCACUGGAACUCUUCAUGGUAGUAAAGUGACACGUGUGUACUUGUUUGUAGGAUUGGGUAUGAUAAAAGAACUGAUGAGUACAGAACAAUAGAAAGUGUAUGGAAUCAGAGCUCGUGGGAGAGGUGAUAUCUUUUAUUAGAACAACUAGAUCUUUGCAAAAAAUAUUCUUUAAUUGCAAGCUUUCAGGCACAAGCACCCUUCUUCAGGCAUAGGAGAAAGGAUUGUAAAAGUCCUCCUGGGUAGAAAUGAAAGGGUAUGGAGGUGAUCUUUAGAUUAUAACCACCGUGAGCAUGUAUUGUGUGCAGUCCACUCAUUAUGUUUGAACACAGAAUAUCUUUCUAGUGCCUAAUGCAGGGGGACUGGACCCGAUGAUCUGCAAGGUCCCUUACAGCUCCUCAUAUCUAUUAAUCUAUGCAUUAAUCUAGAAAACGAACAUUUUUAAAAAUUUUUCUCAUCCUAUUUUAUCUGGAAAAGAGGAGCAGCUGUCAGAAAAGCCAAGUUGUGGGGGCUGCUGAUUUGUUAAGGAAGAGAGUUGCAUGGAAAAGUCUCCCACAAGAAAAAGCAUUAUCAGCUUGAAAAUCUUCCUGUAAAAAAAACUGCACCAUGACAACACAAACGAUGGCU